rnacentral:rRNA from 1 species
GACAGAGGGUGCAAACGUUGUUCGGAUUUACUGGGCGUAAAGCGCGUGUGGGCGGCUUUGCAAGUCGGAUGUGAAAGCCCACGGCUCAACCGUGGAAGUGCAUCCGAAACUGCAUGGCUUGAGUCUCGGAGAGGAAGGUGGAAUGCUUGGUGUAGAGGUGAAAUUCGUAGAUAUCAAGCAGAACACCUGCGGCGAAGGCGGCUUUCUGGGCCUUACCUGACGCUGAGACGCGAAAGCGUGGGGAGCGAACCGG